AAUUUUGUACAAUGGGGGAAACCCUGAUCCAGCCAUCCCGCGUGUAGGAUGAAGGCCUUCGGGUUGUAAAGUACUUUUGGCAGAGAAGAAAAGGUAUAUCAUAAUACGAUAUACUGCUGACGGUAUCUGCAGAAUAAGCCCCGGCUAACUACGUGCCAGCAGCCGCGGUAAUACGAAUGGUGCAAGCGUUAAUCGGAAUUACUGGGAGUAAAGCGUGUGUAGGCGGUUCGGAAAGAAAGAUGUGAAAUCCCAAGGCUCAACCUUGGAACUGCAUUUUUAACUGCCGAGCUAGAGUAUGUCAGAGGGGGGUAGAAUUCCACGUGUAGCAGUGAAAUGCGUAGAUAUGUGGAGGAAUACCGAUGGCGAAGGCAGCCCCCUGGGAUAAUACUGACGCUCAGACACGAAAGCGUGGGGAGCAAACAG
rnacentral:rRNA from 1 species